rfam:Gossypium hirsutum cultivar TM-1 chromosome 22, whole genome shotgun sequence
AUACCUUUCUCGGCCUUUUGGCUAAGAUCAAGUGUAGUAUCUGUUCUUAUCAGUUUAAUAUCUGAUACGUGGAUCAUUGAUCCGCAUGAUAUUAAAUCAAUAUUUUUAGGGGGAGAGCUCAUUAACAAUAGCUUGCUAUUGGGGUUCUCGAGUGUCGUCUUUGUUUUGCACUGCUGCAUCGUUCUGGCACACCCCUC